rnacentral:rRNA from 1 species
GUCUACGACCAUGCCACCCUGAACAAGCCCGAGCCUGUCCGAUCUCAGAAGUUAAGCAAGGUCAAGCCUGGUUAGUACUUGAAUGGGAGACCACCUAGGAAGACCAGGUGCUGUAGGCA